UUUUAUGUUUAAAUAAAAGGAUCUUACUCUUUAACAGAAAGGUCCAUCUCUGAAGGGAUCCUUUCCAUAAUGAUGUCAGACACUUGGAAUAUUAACCUGAGCCUGUCAGCG